GACGAACGCUGGCGGCGUGCCUAAUACAUGCAAGUAGAACGCUGUUUCGAACGGGUGAGUAUCGCGUAGGUUACUGUCCCAUUGCGGGGGAUAACUAUUGGAAACGCUAGCUAUUAUCCCAUACUGUGAGAUGUACCUGCGUUGUAUUAGCUAGUUGGUUGGGUAAAGGCUCACCAAGGCGACGAUACAUAGCCGGCCUGAGAGGGUGAUCGGCCACACUGGGACUGAGACACGGCCCAGACUCCUACGGGAGGCAGCAGUAGGGAAUCUUCGGCAAUGGACGGAAGUCUGACCGAGCAACGCCGCGUGAGUGAAGAAGGUUUUCGGAUCGUAAAGCUCUGUUGUUAGAGAAGCGGUAACUAAACAGAAAGGGACGGCUAACUACGUGCCAGCAGCCGCGGUAAUUC
rnacentral:rRNA from 1 species